rnacentral:misc_RNA from 1 species
CAACCCUCGGUACCAACCGGUUUUGAGCAAGCCAGGGUCCCCGACCCGGCUGGCUUUAAAGUUGUAAGCUCUGCUGGCUGCCCGGCCUGACCAGAACAUAGUAAAACACUACUUGUUCACGGUUGAGGUCGAAGCGGUACGGCCUGAACAACACCUACCAUUUCUAAG